GCACCGGCAGGGGCCGUUGCACAGCAGGUAGGUAGCGGGGGGAGCCUAUUCUCGUUGGGGUCGGUGGGGAGAGAGGGGACUUUUUGAGAUCGAGUGAGAGGGGAGCGGGAGAGGGAGCGUAGAGUGAGAGCUAGGGCUCGAGCGGCAACUGUGCGGUAGCGGUAAUUGUGCGAGACCUCCGUGGGGCUCGGUGCGCCCCAACAGGUGAUUCUGGAGGUCCCAGCCUAUGAAGAGGAUGCUGGCAACUUAGUUCGGCCUGAGGUGCCGCAGUAGCCCUAGCGGCAGAAGAAGAAGGAGGCCUACAGCUCGAGGCGGCGAAGCUAGGCAGCGGCGGUUCGGAAGGAGCGCGGGUGAAAUCGUGUAGACGUCCUCGGGCUGAGGCUAUGGCGCUAUCUGGGGCUCUGGUAACUACGAAACAACAAGCUGAUGCCGAUGCGAAGGCUUCUAAGGAAAGUAGACGCCUCGAAGGUCUGCAACCUCGGGUCCUCGGUCUGCGGUGGCAGCUGCUGAUGAUGAUGAGCCCUCCACGGACGAUGAUGCACGUCGGGCGACUGCCGCUGGUCCUCAUCAAAUCCUCCCAGGGUCCGUCCUCCGGACGCGGAGAAAGCUAGAUAUAGGGUCAAACACGAUCGGAAGAAUUCCGUUUGAACAAAUUGAAUACAGACAUGAGUCUAUAACAACGAAGGCGACUGAGCAGAUACUAGCUCGAGAACAUAAGCUCGGAAGCUUCGGGGACCGAACAUUAUACUACGAACAUACUGAAUUAAAAUAAACAUCUCAACACAACACUAUAGAAGG
rnacentral:rRNA from 1 species